UAUUUCAGGAAAAUUCAAGACAGAUCUGCUACAGUAACUGUACAUAAAGUAGCAUACAUGUGUGACAGGAAAGGAGGAAAAUGUAUGGCUGGACUGAGAAUCUAACCUGGGACCCCUGCAUCACUAGCCAGGUAUCUUAUGGACAUACAUGAUCCUUGGCUAAUCAAGUGUCAUCUGCAGUGUUACAAAAGAAUAUUGGAAUUAUGUCAAUAAGAAAAAGAACUAUCAGAAGGAUACAGUAAAGAGGAACAGACGUAUCCAACCCAUUAGAUAUGUGCUUCAAAAUCUGAAUAUACAGAAUGAAUUCCGCUCAUUGGAGCUCCUUCUGAAAAUAACACCUUUGUUGUAUUGACAUAGAAUCAACAGAAUUGUCUGGUUCCUUAAACAUGACACAACUAGCUGCAUAUGAUGGCAAUUAAAGAUUCAUACAUGUUUACAUUGAUCUUCGUCAGCCAAUAAGCCA